rnacentral:misc_RNA from 1 species
AAAGUCGUAACAAGGUUUCCGUAGGUGAACCUGCGGAAGGAUCAUUACCUGGCCUAGGCCGCCGUCUCGGCGUGCCGCCCGUGCCUAUUACCUUGACUAAGCGUACCUUUGUUGUUCCCUCGGCAGUUCGCUGCCGCCAGGGACCCUAAAAGCCCUUAUGUAUCAGCAGUAAACUUCUGAAUCAAACCUAAUAAUAUUACAACUUUCAACAAUGGAUCUCUUGGUUCUG